rnacentral:rRNA from 1 species
UACGUAGGGUGCAAGCGUUGUCCGGAAUUAUUGGGCGUAAAGCGCACGUAGGCGGCUUUUUAAGUCAGGGGUGAAAUCCCGGGGCUCAACCCCGGAACUGCCCUUGAAACUGGAGAGCUAGAAUCUUGGAGAGGCGAGUGGAAUUCCGAGUGUAGAGGUGAAAUUCGUAGAUAUUCGGAAGAACACCAGUGGCGAAGGCGACUCGCUGGACAAGUAUUGACGCUGAGGUGCGAAAGCGUGGGGAGCAAACAGG